GACGAACGCUGGCGGCGUGCCUAACACAUGCAAGUCGAGCGGGGUUGAAGCGAGAGGUAACUCGAACUUCUACCUAGCGGCGGACGGGUGAGUAACGCGUGGGCAACCUGCCUCAAGGUCUGGGAUAACAGCCCGAAAGGGCUGCUAAUACCGGGUAUGCUUGUGGCCUCGCAUGGGGCUACGAGCAAAGGGGAAACCCGCCUUGAGAUGGGCCCGCGUCCCAUCAGCUAGUUGGUGAGGUAACAGCUCACCAAGGCGACGACGGGUAGCCGGCCUGAGAGGGUGACCGGCCACACUGGGACUGAGACACGGCCCAGACUCCUACGGGGGGGCAGCAGUGGGGGAUCUUGCACAAUGGGCGAAAGCCUGAUGCAGCGACGCCGCGUGAGCGAAGAAGGCCUUCGGGUUGUAAAGCUCUGUCUGGAGGGACGGAAGGAAGUGACGGUACCUCCGGAGGAAGGCCACGGCUAACUACGUGCCAGCAGCCGCCGGUAAUCAUACUCGUA
rnacentral:rRNA from 1 species